CGGGGGGAGCAAGCGUUGUUCGGAUUUACUGGGCGUAAAGGGCGCGUAGGCGGCGCAACAAGUCACUUGUGAAAUCUCCGGGCUUAACCCGGAGCGGCCAAGUGAUACUGUCGUGCUAGAGUGCGGAAGGGGCUACUGGAAUUCUCGGUGUAGCGGUGAAAUGCGUAGAUAUCGAGAGGUACACCUGCGGCGAAGGCGGGUAGCUGGGCCGACACUGACGCUGAUGCGCGAAAGCCAGGGGAGCGAACGGGAUUAGAUACCCCGGUAGUCCUGGCCUUAAACGAUGGAUACUUGGUGUCCGGGGUUACAUAGUCCCCGGGUGCCGGCGCUAACGCAUUGAGUAUCCCGCCUGGGGAGUACGGUCGCAAGACUG
rnacentral:rRNA from 1 species